GACGAACGCUGGCGGCGUGCUUAACACAUGCAAGUCGAGCGGUAAGGCCCCUUUGGGGUACGACGAGCGGCGAACGGGUGAGUAACACGUGGGUGACCUCGCCCUCCAGCUCUGGGAGUAAGCCUGGGAAACUAGGGUCUAAUACCGGAUAUGACUCCAUGACGCAUGUUGGUGGGGUGGAAAGCCUUGUGCGGCUGGGGAUGGGCCCGCGGCCUAUCAGCUUGUUGGUGGGGUGAUGGCCUACCAAGGCGACGACGGGUAGCCGGCCUGAGAGGGCGACCGGCCACACUGGGACUGAGACACGGCCCAGACUCCUACGGGAGGCAGCAGUGGGGAAUCUUGCGCAAUGGGCGAAAGCCUGACGCAGCGACGCCGCGUGAGGGAUGACGGCCUC
rnacentral:rRNA from 1 species